rnacentral:rRNA from 1 species
AGUAAAAGUCGUAACAAGGUUUCCGUAGGUGAACCUGCGGAAGGAUCAUUAAAGAUUCGAGCUUCGGCUCUACCUCUUCAGCUGUGCGCUUAGGCUGCACGCUGUCGAACCUCUCACACCUGUGCACCUUUUCGGUUGCGGCGUUCGCGCGUCGCUUCCGCUUUACACAUUUUACUACAAAAGUCUAGAAUGUCUUAAACUAUAAAACAUAAUACAACUUUCAACAACGGAUCUCUUGGCUCUCGCAUCGAUGAAGAACGCAGCGAAAUGCGAUAAGUAAUGUGAAUUGCAGAAUUCAGUGAAUCAUCGAAUCUUUGAACGCAUCUUGCGCUCCAUGGUAUUCCGUGGAGCAUGCCUGUUUGAGUGUCACGUCAACCCUCAUUCAUGUGAUGUUACAAUCGCAUGAAUGGAUUUGGACCGUGUCGUAAUCGACUCGUCCUGAAAUGCAUUAGCUUGCGCUUUUAGAGUGCUGGGCACCGGUGUGAUAAUUAUCUGCGCCAACGCCUUUAGCCUCUUCUGUUGUGCUGCUUACAAUCGUCCUUUGACGGACAAUUACUUUUAAAGCUUUGGCCUCAAAUCAGGUAGGACUACCCGCUGAACUUAAGCAUAUCAAUAAGCGGAGGA